AUUGGAAAGGCAGACUGGGAAAGGAAUGACACUUUGGAAAUUUACUUUGAGAAAUGUCUGUAUUAUUAAACAGAAUAAGGUUUUCAUUUCUGUAUUCUUUCAGCAAAGCUACUAAUCUGAGCAACGUGGAAUUAAAAUUGUAGACUAAUAAAAGGUAAGAUAUAUAAGAGUAAAGUAUAUAAGAUUCUAACAAUAGAGAUUUUGAUAAUGGGUAGUUGCUUCUUAUUUCCCUUCUGUCAACAGCCACGCCUCGAGAGCCCAGCUCCGGGACCCUGGCACCAGGGGAAGCUCCCAUGACAGAUUACUGUGGUCUCUUGCAUGCUGCUAUAGAUUGCAAUACUGAGACCAUGAUAACCUGCCACUCCCCAAAAUAUUCUUGUCUUGCCUACUUGCUCAAAUAUUGGAGGAUCUGAAGAAAUUACGAAGAAGUUUUGAUCCUUAGUAAUCAGUGAGGAUUGUCCAGAAAAAUAGAACCAAUAGGAUGUGCGUAUAUAUAUGUAAAUGAAAGAGAUUUAUUUUAAAGAAUUGGCUUAUGAGAUUUUCCAGACUUGGUGUGUCCAAAUUCUGAUGAGGAAGCCUGGAAGGCUGAAGACUUAGGAAAGAGUUGCAAUUUGUGUCCAAAGGCAGUCUGCUGGUGAGCCAGGAAGAACUGAUGUUGCAGAUGAAAUCUAAAGGCCCACAGUAGUGGUAACCCCACUUUCCAGGCCCACCAUGUUGGCAAUCCCACCCUUUCUGCUCUGAGAAGAGGGCCAGUCCCUCUGAAUCCAAGGAGAUGACCCCACUCUCUGGAACCAAGCAGGAGAUGGUCCCAUACACAGGGUGAAGCACAAAGGAGAUUCUUGCAAGAUUUGGAAGACCUAGGGAAGGAAGUGACAUUUUAUGGCUGACCUAUGCUGUUGCUGAUCUGCUGCAUCAUUUCAAUGGCAUAAAGCAGCAUCUAGAUCUGCGGUUGUUUAGCCUUUUCUGGAUUCAUCUUCAGUUUUUUGACCCCUGAGCCAGACUCAGAGUUCACCUCCUCCAGGAAGCCUUCCUUGAGACGCCAUUGCUCACCUGGCUCUACUUGCUUGACCAGAAGUACUUUAAAGAUUAUAUCUUUACAUUUUGUAUCUGCAGGACUUGAAAUAUAAUGAACAUUCCAGACAUAAUUGAUGAAUAAAAUAACAUCCAAUCCCUUCAUUUUAUAGAUUGGUUGAUGAAGACCUUGGACUUUUGGCCAAGAUUGAACAUCUACAGUGGAGAUUAUUUAGUGCUGUUUUCUAUUCACAGGCCUAGCCACUCCAACCUGUCUGUUGUCUUUACAUCAUAGGACUUUACCCAAGGUGCACUCUAUAAUACAUGCCAGUCCAAAUAUACAUUCUGACAGACAAUCUAGCUGCCCACAUCUGUCAGAUGGCUCUUUCUGUGACAACUGAGGAUAAGAAUUUUUUUCUUUAAGAAUUAGAGCUAAAUAUUAUGAAAUAUAAUCUAGACUUCAAGAAACUUUGACAGUUACCUGUAUCACCGUCUGUGGAUGAAUAAAAAUCUCUUUGACAUCUAAGACAAAAUGGCCAUUCACCAUCUAUCUGAAAAUUCUAGUGAGGACAGCCAUACUUUCUGAGGCAUGUUGAAUGGCUAACAUUUUAGAAUUCUUCCUUACAUUGGCUGAAAUAUGACUGAAGUUUCACAGAUUUACCCUUAUUCCUCAUGAUAAAAGUACAGAAGUUUGUUAAGUGUCCUUGGUGACAGGUUGGUCAAGAUUGGACCUUCCAUAGGAUUACUUAGUCUCACAUCCCCUCAUGGCUACGGAUCUCAUAAGGAUGGGUCUGAACAUCAAAAAUAUCACUGUUUUUAUUCAGGUACUGACAGCGCCAUAUAAAUAUGGCUUAAAGCAUGGCUAUAAGAAGAGUGAAUAUUCUAAUGACCUGUCUUGAGUGAAGCUGAUGAGACUGUAUUUUGAGUCUUACUGUACCUGUUAAGGCUAUGCAGCGUAUUUAGAGAGAAAUGUGGAAUUUGUUAUAUAAAGGUAAGUUUAAAUAGGGUGCUAAUAUCUAUGAAGGUCAACUUUGUUAAUUCAACACAAAUAAAAAUCCAAGCCAUGGUCAUUCAGCACACAUAAAGUCUAAGUAAUUUCAAAUAAAAUUACUGCUUGGCUGAAUGCUUAAGCAAUUUUGGAUUGCUGGAGUGAAUCAAAGAAUACUCAUAAUGUAAGCUCAUUAGAUUCACAGAGAGAUAUGCUGAUUUAAUUCAAGUGUUCUGCUGUCCAUUUAAACUUCACCUUCUUUUCUUACUUUGGAUUACUAGAUGUUUUUGUUAAUCUUAUUUGACAAGCUGCAUCUAGUCUUAUGAAUUUAACCUUUUUGUGAAUUGUCUUUGCUAUUAAAAAUUCUGUAACUGUCAAUCACUUGAAUCAUGUGGAGUUAUGAAAAAUGUCUGAUCCUUGAAUGUAUAUCUUUUCUCUCUCCAUCUGUAAUAUCUUACUAUGUACAGAAUAAAUUAGAAACUUAUCUGUGAUGUUAAUAUUUCUGAUAGCUUAAAUAUGUCACUUUACAUACGAUUUAUAUGUAAAAUGAUUUCUAAAUAUGAUAAAAUG